UACAGAGGUGCCAAGCGUUAGGCGGAAUCACUGGGCUUAAAGCGCGUGUAGGUGGACGGGUAAGUAUCUUGUGAAAUCCCACGGCUCAACCGUGGAACUGCUGGAUAUACUGCUUGUCUUGAGGCACUUAGGGGCAGCUGGAACAAAUGGUGGAGCGGUGAAAUGCGUAGAUAUCAUUUGGAACGCCAAUGGUGAAAACAGCUCGCUGGGGGUGCACUGACACUGAGACACGAAAGCCAGGGGAGCGAACGGG
rnacentral:rRNA from 1 species